UGGGGAAUAUUGCACAAUGGAGGAAACUCUGAUGCAGCGAUGCCGCGUGAGGGAAGAAGGUUUUAGGAUUGUAAACCUCUGUCUUCAGGGACGAAAAAAGACGGUACCUGAGGAGGAAGCUCCGGCUAACUACGUGCCAGCAGCCGCGGUAAUACGUAGGGAGCGAGCGUUGUCCGGAAUUACUGGGUGUAAAGGGAGCGUAGGCGGGAUCGCAAGUCAGAUGUGAAAACUAUGGGCUUAACCCAUAAACUGCAUUUGAAACUGUGGUUCUUGAGUGAAGUAGAGGUAAGCGGAAUUCCUAGUGUAGCGGUGAAAUGCGUAGAUAUUAGGAGGAACAUCAGUGGCGAAGGCGGCUUACUGGGCUUUAACUGACGCUGAGGCUCGAAAGCGUGGGGAGCAAACAGGAUUAGAUACCCUGGUAGUCCACGCCGUAAACGAUGAUUACUAGGUGUGGGGGGACUGACCCCUUCCGUGCCGCAGCAAACGCAAUAAGUAAUCCACCUGGGGAGUACGACCGCAAGGUUGAAACUCAAAGGAAUUGACGGGGGCCCGCACAAGCAGUGGAGUAUGUGGAUUAAUUCGAAGCAACGCGAAGAACCUUACCAGGUCUUGACAUCGUAUGCAUACCUCAGAGAUGAGUGAAAUCUCUUCGGAGACAUAUAGACAGGUGGUGCAUGGUUGUCGUCAGCUCGUGUCGUGAGAUGUUGGGUUAAGUCCCGCAACGAGCGCAACCCUUACUGUUAGUUGCUACGCAAGAGCACUCUAGCAGGACUGCCGUUGACAAAACGGAGGAAGGUGGGGAUGACGUCAAAUCAUCAUGCCCCUUAUGACCUGGGCCUCACACGUACUACAAUGGCUGUCAACAGAGGGAUGCAAAGCCGCGAGGUGGAGCGAACCCCUAAAAGCAGUCUUAGUUCGGAUUGUAGGCUGCAACCCGCCUACAUGAAGUCGGAAUUGCUAGUAAUCGCAGAUCAGCAUACUGCGGUGAAUACGUUCCC
rnacentral:rRNA from 1 species